GUGCUCGUUUCAGCAGCACAUAUACUAAACCCAGAAUGAUACAGAGAAGGAUGACAUGCAAAUUCAUGAAGCAUUCCAUAUUUUU
rnacentral:snRNA from 1 species